UACUUGUCAACUCCAUCGAAAUCCUUCAUUUCUUGUGGCACCGUCUAAAAUUUGCUUCGAUUGAAGAAAUUUUGACGCCCAUGACAGCGUUGAAAUUUCUUCAAUGCAAACAAAUUUUUUAUCUUCCUUUCAUCGAGGAUUUUCAUACCAUGUGAAGGAGAGAUCAGUUCCAUCAGUUCCAAGUCGUUCGGGUGUUUGGUUAGUUAGGCCUAAGAAGUAAGGGCUAGUGAAAGAGAAGCAUUUGAUUGUCCUACAAGUAUCUGAAUCGCCAAUGAAAGCAGAGGUUAUUUCCUCUGAAUUUCCACGAAUUGUUCAGGCUUCAGAGAAUGAAUCUCCUUUUUAAGGGUUCGUUGGGGAGCGAAGUGACCAUAUGGCAUCCCUUUCUACACCUGCUCAGUCUCUCUCUUGCCUUUUUCAUACUACAUAUUUUUGUUUCUCAAUUUAGUGUCAGUGUCAACCAUGUCUAUGCUUUGGCCAUUCUCAUUUCCACUUUCCACUACUCUAAAAAUGUAUCUGCAAUUGAUCUUAUAUUUGUGUAUCUCUCUGUGCAACUUUAAUAUGAAGUUAUUAAGGAAGAAGAGAAAGGAGGAAGAAGGGAGAGAGAAAAGGUAGAAACGACCUAAUAGUAGGCAUGAGUAUUAAGAUGCAGCAGAGCCACCACUUAGUGGCGCUAAGGUUUAAUGAGCAAAUUGACAGUAGAAAAGGGUCCACAUCCAUACCUAAGUUACUAUUGCUCUGGGUUCUGUUGGUGGCAUUCAUUAGUAUGUUAAACUACAAAGAAAUGGGUGGUGUUAACAAAGUUAGAAGAAAGUAAGUUCUGGGAAGUAUGUGUGACCAGACGACAAAGAUGCUUCUGCCUCAACUUAGUGUCAGUGUCAAACUAUGUCCAGGCUUUGGCCAUUCUCAUUUACACUUUCCAGUACUUCAAAAUCGUAUCAGCAAUUGAUCAGGAAAAUGUGUUUCGAUUUCUGUCUUUUAUUAGUCUCGGUUAGUUAGGCUUAAGAGUAAGGGAUAUAAUUCAUUUUUCUUGUUUCAGCUAGAAAUUACGUCGAUGUCUUGAUUUUUAGUUUUUUUAGGGCUGUUUGGUUGUUUUUUCAGGGGUGUUUGGUUAGUUAGGCCUAAGAAGUAAGGGCUAGUGAAAGAGAAGCAUUUGAUUGUCCUACAAGUAUCUGAAUCGCCAAUGAAAGCAGAGGUUAUUUCCUCUGAAUUUCCACGAAUUCUUCAGGCUUCAGAGAAUGAAUCUCCUUUCUAAGGGUUCGUUGGGGAGCGAAGUGACCAUAUGGCAUCCCUUUCUGCACCUGCUCAGUCUCUCUCUUGCCUUUUUCAUACUACAUAUUUUUGUUUCUCAAUUUAGUGUCAGUGUCAACCAUGUCUAUGCUUUGGCCAUUCUCAUUUCCACUUUCCACUACUCUAAAAAUGUAUCUGCAAUUGAUCAGGUGAAUCUAUAGUUAUAACAUAGUAAGAAGAAUGGAAGUUCUUGGGGAGUUUGUGUGACAAGAGGGCAAGGAUGCUUCUGCAUUAAUUUAGUAUCAGUGUCAACCAUGUUUAUGCUUUGGCCAUUCUCAUUUCCACUUUCCACUACUCCAAAAAUGUAUUAUCUGCAAUUGAUCAGGAAACUUUUGCUGGUACACGAUUCAAACAGCUUUCCAUGUCAGUGCAGCACCACAUGCUAAUUUAGGUGUGAAAUGCUAAUUUAGAUGUGAAACACUUCCAAAGAUGACGAGAAAUCAAAGAUUGUCGUAGUAAAAAACCUCACCAGUUUUUCCUUUCAGGUUUUUCUUUUCUUUUUCUUUAAUAGUUUGGAAUUUUGCUGGUGUGAUUUCUGCUUUUCUCUUAUCAUUUAUUUUGAUUUUGGAGAGCAACUUUGGUAAUGUUAAUAAUUUUUCUCCAUUUCUGCGUUGAGCAAUGUUUAGCUGAUAUGUUUGUGUAUUCUUUACAUUAGUGCAGCACCACAUGCUAAUUUAGGUGUGAAAUGCUAAUUUAGAUGUGAAACACUUCCAAAGAUGACGAGAAAUCAAAGAUUGUCGUAGUAAAAAACCUCACCAGUUUUUCCUUUCAGUGCAGCACCACAUGCUAAUUUAGGUGUGAAAUGCUAAUUUAGAUGUGAAACACUUCCAAAGAUGACGAGAAAUCAAAGAUUGUCGUAGUAAAAAACCUCACCAGUUUUUCCUUUCAGGGGUGUUUUGGUUAGUUAGGCUUAAGAAGCAAGGGCUAGUGAAAGAGAAGCAUUUGAUUGUCCUACAAGUAAUAAGCUUCUCCUCAAUCAUUCAACCAUUUUUUUAGUAAAGAAAGAGGCUUCUCCUCUGGCAACCAAAGUCCGUCCCUCGUUAACAGGUAUAAGUUGAAUGGAAGAGUUUUUUAGCCUUGAUAGAUCUUGAGUACCUGAAUCGCCGAUGAAACAGAGGUUAUUUUCUCGGAAAUUCCACGAAUUGUUCAGGCUUAGAGGUGCAAGGACUUGUGAAAGAGAAGCAUUUGAUUGACCAACGAGUAAUUAGUUUCUCCUCAAGCAUCCCACCACUUUUCUAUUAAAGAAAUACAGGUACGUCUACGCUAUUACUUUUCAUGUCCUUUUACUUAAGAUAUUUAUAUAAAUAUAUAUAAAAAUAAAUAAGAUCCAUCUUUGGUAAUUUUUUUUAAAAUCAAAUCUGUGGAUAUUCAUUUCAUCUCUAAAGUUUUGCGUUUUGUUACUUUUUAAAAUUCCCUCCAUGUCACUAUUACACUCCUAUAUUUGUGUUGUAAUUAUGAUGUCCUUUUUCUAUGGUCUGUUAAAGUUAAUUUAAAUCCUUUUUUGCUCUUGGUUUAUGUUGAAGAAAUGGAAGAUUUUUUUAGCCUUAAUAGAUCUGGAGUACCUUAAUCGCUCUUGCAUUUUGUGAUUCUGUUCUUUUUCUAUUUUGAAGAGUGUCCUGAGUAAUUUUUAGGAUUUUUAUUUUAUAGUUUUUGUCGCUUGCAUUUAAACACAGACUUGGUUGUUGAACUGGGGUUCUUGAAUAAUUGUUGGUUUUGUUUUCUGAAGAAGUGAUCUUAUAUUUGUGUAUCUCUAUGUGCAACUUUAAUAUGGGGUUAUUAAGGAUGGAGAUAAAGGAGGAAGAAUGGAGAGAGAAAAGGCAGAAAUGACUUAAUUGUUGGGAUGAGUAUGACCCCAUGUCUAGUAGUUCCCAAGUAUGAUAUAGGAAGGCAUAGAGUCAAGGCCUUGUCUGACUCUAAUAGAAGUAAGUAGCUAACGCAACGCAAUAUUCUUUGCACCUUCAGUCUGUGAAUUUGAGGUGUAAGAGUUUGGCCAGAGGAGCUAGUCUCGUAACUGCGGGCGCAGUUCUAGUUCUUUACAAGACAGAUGGGAACGGUAGCUAACAAGUGUGCCCUGAGUGGAAUCCUACCACUACUCUUUCUACUAUAUUGGCAGGACGGGUGCCAAGUUAUUAGUAGCUAGGCAGCUAAGCCAGUAGUAGUUCAGUUCAGGCGCUGUUCUCAAAUCUAGUUGACUACGUUGUAGCGUAGCGGUACGGGACAGGAAAAGAAUUGAUAGCGGUACACUGAACACAAAGAAAUUUGAUAGACAUAUGUUGAGAGUUCGACAAGUAGCACUGAAUCUACUAUCAGUAGUGAUUUAUAGAAGUUGACUCGCUUAAACGAAGAGAGUGAACAAAGCAUAGCGGAGUGAAGAGAGAAAUGGUUUCAUUAGAUAGCUCUCUCGAUGUCCUUGUUAUCUUUCCUAGGUAGAUUGUGACUUAUUCAUUCUUUCUCGCUGACUCUGGUUUCCCCGCCGUGGAUCCUUUCUCGGUUAGGGCCUCCCCUAUCCUUAUUCAUUGAUCGCUCUCUUUGCCGCGAAUCUCGGCAUGGUGGUCCUUCGCCUCGCAAUAUUCUUUGCUCCUCCUUCCUGGGCUUGAUGGGUACAUCAAGCAUAUCGGCAUCUUGCUUCUUUGGUGUGGUACACAUAUCUAUCAAUGAAAAGAAAGUAAUAGAAUUCAUUCCCGCAUACUCGCAUAUUGAAUUGCGCCUUCAGACCAUCAAAGAAAGGUCCAGGGUCUGGAGUCCGCAGGAUUUAUCCGGAGUCCGAAGGAUUUAUCCGUAGGACCAUCCAUAUGGAGGGAAGUAGUCCGGAGGAUUUAUUCGUAGGACCAUCCGUAAUU